rnacentral:rRNA from 1 species
CAGUAGCCACGGGAAUACGGAGGGAGCUAGCGUUGUUCGGAAUUACUGGGCGUAAAGCGUGCGUAGGCGGUUACUCAAGUCAGAGGUGAAAGCCCGGGGCUCAACCCCGGAACUGCCUUUGAAACUAGGUGACUAGAAUCUUGGAGAGGUCAGUGGAAUUCCGAGUGUAGAGGUGAAAUUCGUAGAUAUUCGGAAGAACACCAGUGGCGAAGGCGACUGACUGGACAAGUAUUGACGCUGAGGUGCGAAAGCGUGGGGAGCAAACAGGAUUAGAUACCCCCGUAGUCCCCGUCUCUUAUAC